GGGGAUGCAAUGGUUUCGACGGAUAUCUAGAAGUAUAAAUAGCGAGUGAUGGAUUCUCGUGGGCCAUCUAAAAAACGAGAGAAAAAAUAAUUAACAAUAAUAAAUUAGCAUUAGCUGCCUAAGUGCGGCUACGUCUGACUUAGCGUGCCACUUGGCUAAACUCGGGCGUCGAUAAAGUGGAAACAAAGCUAUCAAAACUUUGAGAUAGUGGGUAUUUAUAAAGUUACCAAAAUUAAGAGCUUGUUUGUUAGCAAUUAAUCGAGGGAAAUCUAGAUAACAAACUGCACUCGGAGAAGUUUAUAUGGAAGGGUUUUCGGACACGAGUUCGAUUCUCGUCAUCUCCACCA
rnacentral:tmRNA from 1 species